UACAGAGGUCUCAAGCGUUGUUCGGAUUCAUUGGGCGUAAAGGGUGCGUAGGCGGCGGCGUAAGUCGGGUGUGAAAUCCCGGGGCUCAACCCUGGAACUGCAUUCGAUACUGCGUCGCUGGAGGACUGGAGAGGAGACUGGAAUUCACGGUGUAGCAGUGAAAUGCGUAGAUAUCGUGAGGAAGGCCAGUGGCGAAGGCGAGUCUCUGGACAGUUCCUGACGCUGAGGCACGAAGGCCAGGGGAGCAAACGGG
rnacentral:rRNA from 1 species